rnacentral:rRNA from 1 species
GAUCCUGGCUCAGGAUGAACGCUGACAGAAUGCUUAACACAUGCAAGUCGACUCGAGUCUUCGGACUUGGGUGGCGCACGGGUGAGUAACGCGUAAAGAACUUGCCUCUUAGACCGGGACAACAUCUGGAAACGGAUGCUAAUACCGGAUAUUAUGGUUUUUUCGCAUGGAGGAAUCAUGAAAGCUAGAUGCGCUAAGAGAGAGCUUUGCGUCCCAUUAGCUGGUUGGUGAGG